UUUAUUGGAGAGUUUGAUCCUGGCUCAGGAUGAACGCUGGCGGCGUGCCUAAUACAUGCAAGUCGAGCGAAUGGAUUAAGAGCUUGCUCUUAUGAAGUUAGCGGCGGACGGGUGAGUAACACGUGGGUAACCUGCCCAUAAGACUGGGAUAACUCCGGGAAACCGGGGCUAAUACCGGAUAACAUUUUGAACCGCAUGGUUCGAAAUUGAAAGGCGGCUUCGGCUGUCACUUAUGGAUGGACCCGCGUCGCAUUAGCUAGUUGGUGAGGUAACGGCUCACCAAGGCAACGAUGCGUAGCCGACCUGAGAGGGUGAUCGGCCACACUGGGACUGAGACACGGCCCAGACUCCUACGGGAGGCAGCAGUAGGGAAUCUUCCGCAAUGGACGAAAGUCUGACGGAGCAACGCCGCGUGAGUGAUGAAGGCUUUCGGGUCGUAAAACUCUGUUGUUAGGGAAGAACAAG
rnacentral:rRNA from 1 species